rnacentral:snoRNA from 15 species
ACAUAGUGAUGGUUGCAUAGUUCAGCAGAUUGAGUUGUGAAGAUAUGUUAUUUGUCUGAUGUGUCU